UCCUGCUCAAUGAAAAUUUAAAUAGCCGCAGUACCUUGACUGUGCAAAGGUAGCAUAAUCAAUUGGCUUAUAAUUGAAGUCUGGAAUGAAUGGAUUUACUGGAAAUAAUUGUCUAUUAAAAAUAAAAGAAAUUACUUAAUAAGUGAAAAUUCUUAUAUAUAUAUAAAAGACGAGAAGACCCUAGAAAUUUUUUAAAAAUUUCCUAUAAUUAUUUUGUUGGGGCGACAAGGUAACAAGUAACUUACAUAUUUUAAUUGGAAUUUUAUUUAAAGAAUAAAUAAAUUACUCUAGGGAUAACAGCAUUAUUUUUUUAAAAGGUUGUGACCUCGAUGUUGGACUAGGAAAACUUUUAUUUAGAAGAUAAAAAUAUAGGCUCUGUUCGAGCUAUUUCUCCUACGUGAUCUGAGUUCAGACCGGA
rnacentral:rRNA from 1 species